CCAUUUUUAACAGUGGGGCAUUUAUGUAAGUCACAGGAGUAGCGCUUAUUCAAGAGCUGCCAGCCUUCAUUAAACAGAACCCACCGGCACUGAGUUUGCCUGUUUCCCUUACUCGUUAAUGGCGCACACGUCUCACAUCAAUCCAGGAUGUUGGACUGUCUGCCAACAAUGAAUGGAGCUACUGUAAACACCCACAUGCAGACUUUUGAGCGAAUAUAGCUUCCAACUCCUUUGGGAACAAGGAGGAAGAAUGAGAAGAGGAGGAACAGGAGAAGGAACAAGAGCAGGAGGAAGAGAUGCAGGCAGCAACAUCACCUGCUAGGGCAUGUCGACAAGAACCCAACUUCCAUCCAAAGAAAUUGCACUUUUUAUAAGUUCCAUCCCCUCCCAGUGGCGCCACCUACUGGCAAGCAAAGCAUACAGACCUUUUGGAGAUGUUCCAGAAACAAACUGAAACUAUUCCCACAUGAACCCCUCUAUCCCCUGACUUUCUUCCCUCGGUUUCUGUUUCCUCCUCUGCCCGAGGCUGUCAACAAUGGUCUGCAAUUCUGCCUAACCCACUUUUCCUGUGAUCUUGCCAGGUAAGAAACUCAAGAACCCUCUUCAAUAAUAACAUCACUGGAGCCAGCAAGGCCCUUCUGCCCAGGAGGCCUAGACAUCCUGGCAGAGGGUGUGUUGACUGCAUUCACGCUGUCUGGCUUCAGCUGACAGUGCCCAGAUGUUCAGUUUCCAGACCUCUCCAAGGUCGUCUUCAUCUUCUUCUGAAGGUGCAGGGAUGCAGCCUUCCUGUGACCUCAGGGUGAUACCAGUCACUCUAGAAAAGAAAGAUCAAAGAAAUAGAUGAAAUCCUACCUUGUAUAUAA